GUACAUCUGAAUACAUAAAUUAUAAUAAUUUAAAAAAACAUAUGAAAAUACAUUCAUGGAAUAUAGAGGGACAGUGACUACAAUGAAAUACAUAGAAUACAACGAGAUACAUUGAAAUACAAUUAAAAAAUAUAAUAAAAUAAAUCGAGAUACAUUGAAAUAUAUAGCAGAAAAUUUAAGUUGCUCAGCCGGGAAAGGAGGGAGUACCCAGAGGUGUUUCUUCAUCAUCAAACACAUCUUCGAAAUUCAACGAAUAACUCAACGAAUCAUAACAGAACUAAUCAGUAGAGGAGAAAUAUUGUCUUUUGUGGCUUAGAUCCAAAAAUGAAAAAUAGUAAAAACCUUAUCAUUUAAACUUGGGAGGUUAUUGGUUCCCAAAUCAGUGUCGGAUUCUCACGGAGGAUGACGGCAGAGGCGGAAGAGAAGGGUGGCGGUGAGGAGAGCAAUAAAAGAAGCAAAAUGAGUUCUUCAACUUUUGUUUUAGAGAUGGAGCUGAAUUAGGUAUAGAAAAAGGAUGAUUUUCGUCCAUUGGAGUUUGAGAUUUAGGAGUAAAAAAUGGAGGAGAAAUU
rnacentral:lncRNA from 1 species